rnacentral:rRNA from 1 species
AUUGAACGCUGGCGGCAGGCCUAACACAUGCAAGUCGAGCGAGCGGCGGACGGGUGAGUAAUGUCUGGGAAACUGCCUGAUGGAGGGGGAUAACUACUGGAAACGGUAGCUAAUACCGCAUACCAUCAGAUGUGCCCAGAUGGGAUUAGCUAGUAGGUGGGGUAAUGGCUCACCUAGGCGACGAUCCCUAGCUGGACUGAGAGGAUGACCAGCCACACUGGACCUUAGACACGGUCCAGCCUCCUACGGGAGGCAGCAGUAGGGAAUAUAUCACAAUGGGCGCAAGCCAGAUGCAGCCAUGCCGCUUGUGUGAUGAAGGCCUUCGGGUUGUAAAGCACUUUCAGCGGGGAGGCGUUACACGCAGAAGAAGCACCAGCUAACUCCAUACCAGCAGCCGCGGUAAUUC